rnacentral:rRNA from 1 species
AGAGUUUGAUCCUGGCUCAGAACGAACGCUGGCGGCAGGCCUAAUACAUGCAAGUCGAGCGAGAAGGUACCUUCGGGUACUGGACAGCGGCGGACGGGUGAGUAACGCGUGGGAAUAUACCUUUCGGUGGGGGACAACAGUUGGAAACGACUGCUAAUACCGCAUACGCCCUUUGGGGGAAAGAUUUAUCGCCGAGAGAUUAGCCCGCGUUAGAUUAGGUAGUUGGUGAGGUAACGGCUCACCAAGCCGACGAUCUAUAGCUGGUCUGAGAGGAUGAUCAGCCACACUGGGACUGAGACACGGCCCAGACUCCUACGGGAGGCAGCAGUGGGGAAUAUUGCGCAAUGGAGGAAAUUCUGACGCAGCCAUGCCGCGUGAGUGAAGAAGGCCUUAGGGUUGUAAAGCUCUUUCAACUGUGAGGAUGAUGACAGUAGCAGUAGAAGAAGCUCCGGCUAACUUCGUGCCAGCAGCCGCGGUAAUACGAAGGGAGCAAGCGUUGUUCGGAAUUACUGGGCGUAAAGGGCGUGUAGGCGGACUGUCCAGUCAGGGGUGAAAUCCCGGGGCUCAACCUCGGAACUGCCUUUGAUACUGACAGUCUA